rnacentral:lncRNA from 1 species
UUUUUCUUUCCCCAAGAUUUUUUUAUAUAUAAGAACACAGGCUCACACAAAACGAAGGGGGGCUCACGUUUCUUCUUCUCCAUUAGAGAAAAAAAGCAGCAGCGGCACAUUACAGAAAACGAUCCCCUCUCCCGCUGAAGCUUCGUCGUCUUUUUCGAGACCUCACCCGACCCGUUUUUUUUCCUUCAACUCCUCCUCUCGCCAGUCAGUGGCGAACUCGCCGGAAAACUCACAAAGCUCCAUCGCCACUGCUCCUUCUUCUUCGUCUAUCAUAGCUACAACAGCCAUGGAACCUGCUUGAAUCCUCCAUAAAACAGUUCAGCUUCGAAACAGAUCCAAACCCAGCGUGAAAACACACAAGAGAAGCGGUCUCGCUUUCGUAUAGGAACAAAUCUCGAACUGCUACUAUUUUCGCAGAAAAACAUCCCAAAAUAAUUUUAAACCAUCCGUUACUGUCAUGGAGUUCGCUGGUCUCGUUUUUUAGUUUUAGUUCGAGUUUUCCGGCGAGUUUCAAGGCUUCCAUGUCGAGGCUCCGGUUCGUUAGUUUCAUUGUUUCAGCCUGCGGAUCAUGGCUCUGGUAUGUUUCUUAGAGUUCAUUGAUUCCUGUUGCUGCUUGUUGCGUCACUUUCUGUCCUCGAACUUCUUUCGUAAUUUAUUCUCACGUCAUACUAAUUACGGGUUCGUCGAUGUAUUCAGUUUCGUUUCAUUUUUGCUUUACCACUGUUGGUUUUGGUUUACAUGUUAUCAAGUAUACAGUAUAAUUAUGGUGUAUUAUGACUUGAAGCCUAGUGUUGUUUUAUUUUCUGUGAAGCUUGAGCAAAUUAUCUUUUAUUUCCAUGUUUUAGUUUUUUUUGUUUUGUUUAAGCAAAUGAUAGGCUGUCAUGUACAUGCCGCUUGGCUAAACAAUAAUUGAAGGUCAUUAUUUGGGGGAAGUGUUAAAUUUAAUUUGCAAAGUUUAUUCAUUGAAUGUUCUUGACCAUGUCUAAAGUGAAAGCAUCGUAUAUUCAUUAUUGACUGUGUAUCUGAGCGUUCAUUUGGGCAUAAUUGAGGGAUGUUAAGUUGGUAUUUUGGUAGGACACCAUCUUAAUUUGCCAAAUUUUAUUGUCCAUUAAAUUGCUUUAAUUAUGUUAAGUCAAUUUGUGAUAAUUAGAAUCCUGCAAAAUCCAGUGACCUUGUUUAUAUGGUAUCAUAUGAAAGGAUAACUACAAUCUUUUAGGUAAAAUGGGUCACGUCAUCUGUUGAGUGGGAUGUGUUUGUCUAUUCCAAGGGAUAAUUAAUUAGUUAUUAAAAAUGAAUAUCCGUAAUUGAAUGUCUUUCCUUUAAUAAAAGUGAGGUGUGCCGUGCCAAAUAAAAAUUACAAUUGCGUGGUUCUCACUUUACUUGCUUUUGAAUUGAUCCUUAGAUUCCGAGGCGUGCCAUUUAGCUAAAUUUCAUGGCCCUCGCAAAUUACAAAUUCGGAAUUACUUUAGGCACGUUAGUUAAUAAUACUACCUUCUUAAACUCGGGUGUGCAUUGAUGCAACCCAAAUCCAAAUCUCGACGAAGUCGAAAUGUGUUGACAACCACGGGUGCCUUGAUGGCGACGGGGUUAAAAAUGCGUUUUCAUGACGUCGUAAUUCUUAUAAAACAAAUAGUAAUUGAAAAAUGGUUCAAAAAUGGAGACGAGCCUCACUGAACAAGAAUAAAUGUGGGGCCCUCAAUAUUUGGUUAUUUAAAAAUGAUUAGAAUUUGGAAGGGUCGUUUAGCGAAUUUCAACGGCCUUUCCCAAACAAUAUUACGUUAGAACCUUUAAGCGUGAUUUAAUUAAAUUAUUUUCUUAAAUUUGGGUGCGCAUUGAUGCGACCCAAAUCCAAAUCUCGACGAAGUCAAAAUAUGUUGACAACCACAGGUGCCUUGAUGGCGACGUGGUCAGGGACGCGUUUUCACGACGUCGCAAGUCUUUUAAAAUAAAUAAUGUUAAAAGCGGUAUAUAAAUAAAAGGCACAUAAGUUAGCAUGUACUAAAAUCAGAUAAAAUCAAAUGCAACAGUUAAGCGACCGUGCUAGAACCACAGAACCUGGGAAUGCCUAACACCUUUUUCCGGGUAAACAGAAUUCCUUAUUCGGAUUUCUGGUUCGCGGACUGUGAACAGAGUCAUCUUUUUCCUCGGUUCAGGAUUCAAUUGGUGACUUGGUGAACCCGGGAAUGCCUGACACCUUCUCCCGGAUUAACAGAAUUCCUUACUCGUAUUUCUGGUUCGCAGACUGUAACAGAGUCAUGUUUUUCCUCGGUUUGGGAUUCAACCGCUGACUUGGGACACCAUUAGUCUCCCAAGUGGCGGCUUUGAAUAAUUAAUAAACUAAAUCCCGUUCUGAUUGUCCUUUAAUUGGAAAAACUCCUUUACGCCCUUUUACGGGGGUGUACAGCGAAAAAGGAGGUGUGACACUCAUUAAUAAGCCUAUAACCAUGUACAAACCCUAGACGACCCAAAUCAAUGUGAUCAUCUUCCAACCAACACGUGUAGUGUGACACAAACCUGUCAUUAUACCUGUCUGGUUCAAUAGAUUCCUUCCCUAAGACGAGCUUGCACUGCCACAUGUGCUGAGCUUGACAAAUGUGCGGGCUAUCAUCAUCUUGAAAGGCGGCCCUAAAAUGACUCAUCUUCUCUAUCCUUGGUAUGAUCUGCUUUCUUCCAGCUUGAUUCAUGGAUCGGAGAGGAACACAAGGUAAGUUCCUCUUAAGCCGAUGAGUAUAAGGAAUGGUGUAUCUCAAGAACGGAUAAUGAACUCCCUUGUUGGGAACCACUUGCUCUUCCUUUAGAUUUUCAAACAGCUCUACCCAUCCACUGGCAUCCUAUGGAUGAACAAACAUGUUGGGCAUGAAGUUCAUGCGCUUUGGGUGGUGAAAAGUGAUAUGGUCAUCCCAGUCCCUGCGUAUGAUUUCCUGUCUGUAGUCGCCUUCCUGAAGGUGUUCUAUGAGCCAAAGCUGAAGUAACAGAUUGCACCUUCCAAAGUGUGGGGCUCCUUGCUCACAUUUUCCUAAAGCUCAAUACAUUUCGGCAAUGAUCAUUGGCAUUAUGCUGAAAGAAUGCCCAUCAAUACCCUCCAUCAAGGCUUUGGAAACCAUGGCUAGUUUGGUGUGGAUCCUAGCCUUCUUCAUCGGAAAGAUCAUCAUACCCAAGAAGCAGAACAUGAACACAAAGACCCUUUUAUGUAUGUGCCCCAAAGAUGUAAGGGCGAACUCAUCAGGGUAGGUGCAGAGACCUUGUUGUGGCCAAACCUUUCAUAUAGGAAGUCAAGUGGUAUGUAGGACUCCUUUAGACAAGUCAGAUCGGGAUUCUUCUUAAGUCCCAUCAUUUUAAGGAAACCCCUUCCUUUGCGAUUUUCUGGCAUAAGUAGACCUGGAGUCUCCCAGAGUAUUCCUGCUAGACCCCCUAUUUCUUCCAGCAACGGGGUCAUCUUGAGGUCCCCGAAGCAAAAAUCUUACAUGUCACUGUCCCAGAAUAGAGUGUCAGCUUCGAUAAUCUUGUUGUCAAGCUUAACUUCCAAAAGUGAAGGAAGGUUUCCUAAGUAUUUGCGGACGAGGGUCUGAUCACUGGCAUGAUGGGGUUCUCAAGGUCCCCGAAGCGAAAAGCUGACCUAUCACUAUCCCAGAAUAAAGUAGGAGCUUCGAUAAUCUUGUUUUUAGGCUUAACUUCCAAAAGUGAAUGAAGGUUUCCUAAGUAUUUGCGGAUGAGGGUCUGAUCACUGGCAUGAAGGUCCUCCCACCAGCUUUACAACCUCGGGUGAAUGUUGGAUACUAUACCGAAUCUGGGGACUUUGUGCCUCAUUUUCUACAAAACAAAGUGUUAGGCUCUUAACCCCACCAGACUCGACUAUUUAAAUAAAUAAUUAGCAAAAAAGACAUUUAGUUCUCCAAAUAAAUGCACAUUACGUGGAGAUGUUCGUUUAGGUUCCGAGGAAACUCGGUGGACUUUGGUUUAGGCUAUCUUAAUGAGUUAUUAUGUGGACAACAUAACUGACUCGGCUAGGGUUGACCAUUAUGCAUGAACAGUUUAAUGGAAUAAGGUUUCUACUUUUGAAGUUCUAGAAAAUGUACCCUUGAGCGGACAACUCAAGAGGGAAAGGCGCAGAACCGUCGAAUACACCGUUGAUCGACUGGUUUUACUGCAGAUAUGCCUUUGCCACAUUUAUAAUAUUAGAAGGGCGCAACAACUCAUUAUAAGCGUUGAUAUAGGAUUUGUUUUGGCAUGAGUGGAAUAUGAUGUUGAGGAAUGCAAUUACAACAAUGAAACAAAUUACAUGUAUUUUCACAUUCAUAAAGUAAAGAUUACAAUAAAUGGUCGGAAUUGAAAUAAUAAUAAGGCAAUAAAAGAAAGAAAAAGGAAAGAAAACCAUUAAGAGCCAAGUUAGUAUUCAUGAUGAAAUAAUUAAAGGCAAGAAAAUACAGGCAAUUAAGGGAGCGAUAAAGUCACAAAAGCACGUAAUGGUAAAAGCCUUAAAGUCUCCCCAGCAUAGUCGCCAUGAUGUCGACGCUCCCUCUUUUUUCAAAAGAGUGUAAUUGGUUUUACGACAUUAUGGACAAAACAUUUCUAAUUGGUUUUUGAAGAGUCGCCACCUAAUGAUUAUAGUGCAUUAGGACACUUAAAAGAAAAGAAGAAGAUUGUUGAAGGAAGACUAGAGUUCGGGUAAGGGCUUGAGAUUUUCUCGAGGAGAAGGUGUUACGCACCCCUCAAGAUCCACUAGUGUGGUUCCCGGCCGUACUUAGUUGUGACUUUAAGAAGAGUAAAAGUAAACAAACAAUGUUUGCACAUAAGGAAUAAAUUGGAAGUUUUGAAAGAAAAGAUAGGGAAAAGACAUAAGUGGUUUUGGAAAAAGAUUAAUUGAAGAAAACAUUAAUUCUUAACAAAACAUCACAUCAUAUAAAUAAAGAAAAGGGGUCCUAGGUAUAAAUAUAAUAUGGAUCAGUUUGGUACAAUAAACAGCAACCAUUCUCAUAAGUGAUAUUAGCGCACCAGUCAUCAUAUCCAUAUUCUACCCUUCCCACCUCGUUAAUGUAGUGCACCAGUCACCAUAUACAUAUUCUACCCUUCCUACCCCAUUAAGUUAUUAAACAUGAUUAGUCUCAUUUACUUAUUGCAUAUUAAUACCCGUCCCAACCUGUCAGUCCCGGGUUCAAGACUCCUAAUCCUAAAAAGGGGAAGCAUAGGCAUAUGUGGAGUUUCAAAAGGAUAAAAGGCUAAGGCGACAAGCAAAACAAGUAGCAAAUAUUGAAGGACGAAACAAAUACACGAAAGGCUCAUUUAAACCCCAUGAAUCACAUAGAAAUUAGUUUAGCAUGUCUUGCAUAUACUGAUUUGGUCUUUAAUAUUAAACGGUGGACAGAUUAAUUAACACAUAGAGUUGGAUACAAAGUCUGCAUUAGGCAACCCAGAUCCAAUUGUUAGAAGUUGGGGUAUUUUGUACAAGUUAUUGAUUUCAGACAAGAGCCUAAUGUAGAAGAGUUAGAAAAUAGAAAGUUGAAAAUUGCAGAGGUUCAGAAAUGACUUUGAAAUCUACAUAUUUGCGUGAGUGAAAAACAAGAGAGUCAUGAAAUGUCAUAAUACUUUAAAAGAAAAAGUGAGCGAAGGGACUGUUUUGAAAGAUAGUUUCAAAAGAUACAUGAAAUUUAGGUAUAAGGUUUAAAAGAAUUGUUUCAGACAGACUUGCAAAAUUUGGAAAGCAUUACAUGCUUAUAAGAGUUUUGAAAACGUGAUACCGAAACACUAAAACCAGUUAUCGAUUUACUACUUAAAUAGAUUAAGCGAUACGGACUUGUUUUGAAUUUUACGGAGUUGGUAAAUAGACGGCAUGUCCGGUUAUCCUAUGGUUUUGCCUAUGCGUAUAUAUUUCCUAUAGACAUGGUUUCUAUUGCAUGAAUAUUAAGUCCUAUAGGCAAGAUUUCUGAUGACUUGCAAUAUGACUGAAUAUUACACCUUAUAGGCAAAAUUUCUAUAUGAUCGGAUUGUGUGUUAUGCAUUAAAUCUAUAGGCAUGAUAUCUAAGUAGUGUAGUUCAAACAUUAGAACUCUAUAGGCAUAAUAUCUAAAUAAUUGAAUUACAACAUGAAUCCUAUAAGCAUGGUAUCUAAGUGGUCGAGUUCAAAUAUUAAAACCAUAUAGGCAUGAUAUCUAAGUGAUUGAAUUGCAACAUGAAUCCUAUGAGCAUGGUAUCUACCUUUGGAUGCAAAAAUAAACAUAGACCCAUCCCAUGCCCCUUACUAAUUUAUCCCCGAGUUCUUUUUACAAGAUUAUUACAAAAUUAGAAGAGAGAAUGUAAACAAAAAUACAUCAUAGCCCACAGCUAGAUCCGAGCAGCCUAAUAUCCAAUACAUGUGUUUCACCAAAUUCGGAUUCAAAAUUCCAAGGUCUUCUCUUAUUCAUAGUGUUUCAAAGUUCCAAGGAGCUUCAAGAGCUCAGUCAAUGCUUACAUUGUAACAGAAUAGUGUAAGUGUAGAAUUACCAGCCCUCAGGCAUCCAAGUUCAGAGGACACUCCAAGGUCCCUAAGCAUGGCUUACCAAUAGGGGGGGGUAGAACUUAGGAACUAGGAAUGAGUGCAAAGUGAGAGGGAAACCAUAGCAGAGGGUUGUCAUACCCAGCUAUGGCAUAGGCUGGCACACCCCUGACCCUUUGCUUAGGUCAAACAAAUAGGAGCAGACUCUAGGGAGUCAAACUUAGAGUCUGAGUGGUGAUUAGGACACUACCAGACCCAAUUUAAGGCUCAACACAUAAAGGGAAUAGGGAAUGGGAAAGCAUUUGAGUAGACUCAGGAGAGUCUGAUUCUGGAUAAUGGACAACAAUAUCAGAUGCUGCCUUGAUUCAGAACAGUACUAGCACACAAAAAGGGAAUAUGGGGAAAAGAUUUUCAUACAGAAGCAUACACUAACAUAAAAAAAUAUAAGAAAACAUAGCAGACUGCAGAUGCAAAGAUCUAUAAGAACAUGCUAUAGAACAUGAACACAUAGUGAUGAAUGUGUAGAAGAAGAGAAGUAAAUACACAUAAUAGGAAAGUGUUAUUUAACUUAGAAGCACAUACCAGUUUUGAGUUCUAGUACCGCAGAGAAACAAUAGCAAGUAGCAACCAGACAGUUAGCAGAAAACUUCAGCAAGUACUUGGGAGUUCAGAAGAACUACAGAAAUAUUCAGACAAUAGGAGAUAAAGGAGCAGAGUGCUUGGUAGCAGUAGAGAAGGUAGUAGUAGAGAGCGUAGUAGUAGAGAAAAUAGUAAAGAAAGACAUGGGUGAUUAUGUGUUGCAAAGGUUCAGAAAGAAUUCUGAGAACUGUGUUGUGUUCGAGUGUUUUUGUGUAAAAACUUGUGUUUUUUUAACUUGUGAGAGUUGUGAGCUUUUAUAGUGCAAAAAUGAGUAGACAAGAAGUCAAGGAAAUAAAAUCUCAGUCAAUCAAAUAAAAUCUCCCUUAGUCAAAGGGAUUUGAUUUCAAAAAAAGAAUUCUGAGAACUGUGUUGUGUUCGAGUGUUUGUGUAAAAACUUAUCCUAGAACUUCUGAGAGCUGUGAGCUUUUAUAGUGCAAAAAAACGAGUAGACAAGAAGGCAAGAAAAUAAAAUCUCAGUCAAUCAAAUAAAAUCUCCCUUAGUCAAAGGGAUCUGAUUUCAAACAUGAGUGGUAAUUAAGGGAAGAAAAACCUUUCAGAGUAUCAUAAUAAAGGGUAGGUUCAUACAGAGUCUAUUUAAGGUAAGAAACUAUAGUACACGGUUUUGAAAGAAUAAGGAAACAAAGUAAUCAAAUAGCCGGAAAGUUUUAAAAGCUUUUAAUGAACUUAGUCGGGAAAAUAGGGAAAAGGCUAAGUUGUAAAAAUUAGUAGCAAAUCAAUCGAGCCUUAGCGAAGGGGAUUGAAAUCAAUCAAAAACUAACAAUAUUAAUUCAAAAAGAACAAAACCCUCGCAUAUAAGCACGCUAGUAUCAAGCAAGAAGAAAGAUUGACAUAAACAGUUUUUGAAUCAUAAGCAAAAAAGGAAAGCAAGUUUCAGUUCAGUCUAUGAACUCAGCACAAAUUUGAGAGCCUAAGGUUUCUAGAGUAGAACCCUAGAACCAAAAGCUCGCGAAACCCCCCAGGUUUCUAUCCGAGUAGGACACACAAAAGAGAAGGCAAACUCAACAAGCCUAAAAGAGUUCCCUGAGGAAAUACAUAGACACACGUAGCAAUCAAAAGCAGUAGAGUGAAAGCUUGUAAAGAACAAGUUUUAAGAAAACUAAAACUCAGACCAGUUCAGAGAAGAGAUGCCAUAAGAGUUUAGGAAACAGUGAAAGAAGCAACUUCAAUAACCCAAAUAGAUUCAGUAAAAGUAAACACUUUCAGUAGCAGAAAUAGUAAAGGGACAAGCAAGAUAGGCGUAUAAACAUGUUUGUAGAAAAAUCAGUAGAAGCGAUAAUAGAACAAAGGCGAAAAGACAUGCAUAUUAACGACAAAUCAUAAGGAACAAACAAAAAUCCCCUAUAGCAUGGAAUGAACACACAGAUCCACAUAAAGAAAGAAGAAGAAGAAGAAGAAGAAGAAGAAGAAGAAGAAGAAGAAGAAGAAGAAUCAUUUUAGGAUUUUUGAAAAACCCUAAUUUGAACAGACUAAUUUUGAAAAGAAAAAUUAGGUGAAGUCCUUAAAACAUAGAAUAGAGCACAGAUCUGCUACAUAUCUAAGAAAAAAAGGAAAGAAAAACCUCGAAUCAAGCUUUUUAGGGUUUUCUCAGAAACCCUAUAGAUGAGAAGGCCUGGAAUGGUCUGGUCCCUAAACAAAUCUGGGCCAAGGCUAAGCUUUUCAGAGCUCAAACACACCGGAAUGGAGCCAGAGAAGCCAAAGGAGCUCAGGUCAGCGGAGGACCUGAAUAGGUUUGUUGAAGGUUGAACCUUGAAAGCCUCGGAUAAUCAUGGCUUGGGGUGAAAGGGUGGAGAAUAUAGGCUGUCCAUGGCCUAAGAAGCCAUGGAUGCCGGUGGAUUUGAUCGGAGACGAAAGUAGGCGGCUAGGGUUUUCGAGUGGCCUAGAGAGCAUUUGAGAGAAGAAAGGAUAUGGGGGCGGCGGUCUUAGAGAAAUGAUUUAGGGUUAGGGUAAUUGGAAAUUAAAAAAGGUAAGAAGAAACGUGGGCCGUUGAUCAAAAUGAUCAACGGCCAGGAUUGAAUGGCGGAACCGGGCGGGUUUAACGAAUUGGGUUUUGGGCGGGUUGGAUUGAAAUUGGAUCUUUUAAUUGGGGUUGAAUUGAGGUCCAAAUUGAAGUCCAAUUGUGGCUAAAAUUGAAAUGGAAAUGGGUCGGCUUUUAAAUAGUCAUUUUUCCUCUCUUCAAUUAAUUAAAAUAGUUAAAAAUAACUUUAAAAUAAAUUGGAAGUACUGUUAUACCACAUUUUAAUACGGUUCAAACUAGAGUAUAACAUAUUGGCAAUUCUGAAGGUUUAAUUAAAUAAAAAGAGUCACCACCUAAUUAUUUUAACGGUGAAUUAGGACACCAAUUUUAACAUUUUAGCUAAGUAGUGCUUAAAAUUAACUCUGUUUAUGAUCUACUUAACCUUAGAGAUUAUGGAUAAGGGUUCUACGUAAUCCUAUAGAGAAGGUUAUGAAGGCACCCUAUAUGAUCCGUUAACUACGGUUAACCGGCCAAACUUAGGUUAAUUGAGUUUUUAAAAAAAGUAAGUAGUAACAUAUAGCAAACCUUAUUAUCAAAAAUGUUCAUAAUAUUGUAUUUACCCGCCUAGUUCAUAGUUUUGCUACAAAAUCUAUACCAAACCAAAAAUAGAUAGAUUAUACCCUAAAAAGGCGCCAAAUUUGUACAAAUCAGAUUUAAUGGUGAUUCUAUCACCAUUAGUUUCGAAAUUUAUAACGGAAGAAAAUCCAUUGCAGCGUAAUUCUUUCCUUCUCCAUAUAUUUUCCACCAUUGAUAGCCAUUAAAAAGCUUGAAAGCUUUGAAUUCAAAUUUGGAUUUUCAAAAAUUAUNNNNNNNNNNNNNNNNNNNNNNNNNNNNNNNNNNNNNNNNNNNNNNNNNNNNNNNNNNNNNNNNNNNNNNNNNNNNNNNNNNNNNNNNNNNNNNNNNNNNNNNNNNNNNNNNNNNNNNNNNNNNNNNNNNNNNNNNNNNNNNNNNGGUGAAAAUUAGACUUGGUUUUGUUUGAAUUUCAGAUUGAAACUCGUCGAAGAAGAAGAAGACAUAUUUUUUCAGAAAUUGUAGUUAAAUUGUAGAUAAUUUGUAGAUAAAUUAUAGAUUGGGAAGAUUAAAACUUCUACAAGUCUUCUACAAUUAUGUCUAAAAUACCAAUUAUACUACAAUUGAAAUGAGAAUUGGAAUAUUAAAAUUCAAUGUAUUCAGUUUGUAGAUACAAUUUCUACAAAUAAACUACAAAUCAGUUUAAGUAUUUUCCUUCUCCAUAAUUUUCCACCAUUGAUAGCCUUUAAAAAGCUUGAAAGCUUUGAAUUCAAAUUUGAAUUUUCAAAAAUCAUUAUCUGUUUGGAUUGGGUGUUGUUGUAAAUAAUUCAAAAUAUGUUUAGAGUUUAUAUCUCAAUUUUGAGGGGUUUUGACUGAAUUUCAGAUUGAAACUCGUCGAAGAAGAAGAAGACAUAUUUUUCCAGAAAUUGUAGUUAAAUUGUUGAAUUGUAGAAUUGUAGAUAAUUGUAGAUUGGGAGGACUAAAACUUCUACAAGUCUUUUACAAUUAUGUCAAAAAUUCCAAUUAUGCUACAAUUGAAAUCAGAAUUGGAAUAUUAAAAUUCAAUGUAUUCAGUUUAUAGAUACAAUUUCUAUAAAUAAACUAC